rnacentral:rRNA from 1 species
AUUGAACGCUGGCGGCGUGCUUAACACAUGCAAGUCGAACGGAGUGGCGAACGGGUGAGUAACACGUGGGUUACCUGCCCUGCACUUCGGGCUAAGCCUGGGGAACUGGGUCUAAUACCGGUUAGUGUGGGAUGGGCCCGCGUCCAAUCAGCUUGUUGGUGGGGUAAGGGCCUACCACGGCGGCGACGGGUAGCCGGCCUGAGAGGGUGGACGGCCACAAUGGGACUGCGAGACGGACCAGAAUCCUACGGGAGGCAGCAGUGGGGAAUAUUGCACAAGGGGGGGAAGUCUGAGGCAGCGACGCUGGGUGGGGGAUGACGUCCUUUGGGUUGUAAACUACUUUCACCAUCGACGCGGUAGAUGGAGAAGAAGCACCGGCUAACUACGUGCCAGCAGCCGCGGUAAUAC